rnacentral:tRNA from 1 species
GCGCUUGUAGCUCAGUUGGAUAGAGCAACAGCCUUCUAAGCCGUAGGUCGCAGGUUCGAGUCCUGCCAAGCGCACCA